rnacentral:tRNA from 1 species
GCUGAUAUGGCUCAGUUGGUAGAGCGCAUCCUUUGUAAGGGUGAGGUCCCCAGUUCGACUCUGGGUAUCAGCU